rnacentral:rRNA from 1 species
AGGGUUUGAUCCUGGCUCAGAACGAACGCUGGCGGCAGGCUUAACACAUGCAAGUCGAGCGCCCCGCAAGGGGAGCGGCAGACGGGUGAGUAACGCGUGGGAAUCUACCUUUUGCUACGGAAUAACGCAGGGAAACUUGUGCUAAUACCGUAUGUGUCCUUCGGGAGAAAGAUUUAUCGGCAAGAGAUGAGCCCGCGUUGGAUUAGCUAGUUGGUGGGGUAAAGGCCUACCAAGGCGACGAUCCAUAGCUGGUCUGAGAGGAUGAUCAGCCACAUUGGGACUGAGACACGGCCCAAACUCCUACGGGAGGCAGCAGUGGGGAAUAUUGGACAAUGGGCGCAAGCCUGAUCCAGCCAUGCCGCGUGAGUGAUGAAGGCCCUAGGGUUGUAAAGCUCUUUCACCGGAGAAGAUAAUGACGGUAUCCGGAGAAGAAGCCCCGGCUAACUUCGUGCCAGCAGCCGCGGUAAUACGAAGGGGGCUAGCGUUGUUCGGAAUUACUGGGCGUAAAGCGCACGUAGGCGGAUCGAUCAGUCAGGGUGAAUCCCAGGGCUCAACCCUGGAACUGGCUUUGAUACUGUCGAUCUGGAGUAUGGAAGAGGUGAGUGGAAUCCGAUGGAAAGGGGAAUCGUAAAAUUCCGAGGACCCAGUGCGAGCGCUCAUGGUCAUACGAACCUGAGUGGAAGCUGGGACAACAGAUAGUACCUGUAUUCAACCUACCAUAUGUACGCCGCAUACUGUCGGGCGCUAACUAACUCGCUGGAUACGUCCGAUAAUCAAGAUGCGGCCCAACGGAAGGUUAUUA